UACGGCUCAGUAACACGUAGCUAACCUGCCCUUAGGUCAGGGAUAACGUCGGGAAACUGACGCUAAUACCUGAUAGAAGUGAAUCCCUGGAAUGAAUUCACUUUCAAACUCGAGCCUAAGGAUGGGGCUGCGGCGGAUUAGGUUGUUGGCGGGGUAAUAGCCCACCAAGCCGAUGAUCCGUAAGGGCUCUUAGCGGAGAAGCCCUGAGAGGGAAUCUGAGACACUAUUCCCAGCCCUACGGGGUGCAGCAGUUAGGUAUAAUCUACAAUGCGCGCAAGCGUGAUAGUUUGAGUCAGAGUGCUUCUCAUUGAGGAGCUUUUGCCAGAUGUAAAAAGUCUGGCGAAUAAGGACUGGGCAAGACGAGUGCCAGCCGCCGCGGUAAUACUCGCGGUCCAAGUCGCAGCCAUAUUUAUUGGGUCUAAAACAUCCGUAGCUUGCCGGAUAAGUUUCUUGUGAAAUCCCAUCUCUUAAAGAUGGGGCGUGCGGGAAAUACUACCCGGCUAGAGACUGGGAGACGGAAGAAGUACAUUCAGAGUAGCGGUCAAAUGUGUUGAUCCUGAAUGGACUAACAAUAGCGAAGGCAUCUUCCGAGAACAGAUCUGACAGUCAGGGAUGAAGGCUAGGGGCGCAAAACGGAUUAGAUACCCGUGUAGUCCUAGCAGUAAACACUGCACACUAAACAUCGGUACCUCUUCGAGAGGCAUCGGUGCUGCAGCGAAGGCGAAGAGUGUGCUACCUGGGAAGUAUAGCCGCAAGGCCGAAACUUAAAGGAAUUGGCGGA
rnacentral:rRNA from 1 species